rnacentral:rRNA from 1 species
GACGAACGCUGGCGGCGUGCUUAACACAUGCAAGUCGAACGAAGAGCGAUGGAAGCUUGCUUCUAUCAAUCUUGGUGGCGAACGGGUGAGUAACGCGUAAUCAACCUGCCCUUCAGAGGGGGACAACAGUUGGAAACGACUGCUAAUACCGCAUACGAUCUAAUCUCGGCAUCGAGGAAAGAUGAAAGGUGGCCUCUAUUUAUAAGCUAUCACUGAAGGAGGGGAUUGCGUCUGAUUAGCUAGUUGGAGGGGUAACGGCCCACCAAGGCGAUGAUCAGUAGCCGGUCUGAGAGGAUGAACGGCCACAUUGGGACUGAGACACGGCCCAGACUCCUACGGGAGGCAGCAGUGGGGAAUCUUCCGCAAUGGACGAAAGUCUGACGGAGCGACGCCGCGUGAGUGAUGACGGCCUUCAGGUUGUAAAGCUCUGUUAAUCGGGACGAAAGGCCUUCUUGCGAAUA